UACAGAGGUCUCAAGCCGUUUGUUCGGGAUUCAUUGGGCGUAAAGGGUGCGUAGGCGGCGCGGUAAGUCGGGGUGUGAAAUCUCGGAGCUUAACUCCGAAACUGCAUUCGAUACUGCCGUGCUUGAGGACUGGAGAGGAGACUGGAAUUUACGGUGUAGCGGUGAAAUGCGUAGAUAUCGUAAGGAAGACCAGUGGCGAAGGCGGGUCUCUGGACAGUUCCUGACGCUGAGGCACGGAAGGUCAGGGGAGCAAACGGG
rnacentral:rRNA from 1 species